GCUCCGGUAGUGUAGCACGGCCAAUCAUAUCGGACUUUCAAUCCGAUGACUCGGGUUCAAAUCCCGACCGGAGCA
rnacentral:tRNA from 1 species